AGAUGAUGAAACCAAAAUCAACAGCUGGAAUUACCGUCAGAUUGUAUAGUGUUGAAGAAUGGUUUUCUGAUC